UACGUAGGGGGCAAGCGUUGUCCGGAAUCAUUGGGCGUAAAGCGCGCGUAGGCGGCCCGAUAAGUCCGCUGUGAAAGUCCAGGGCUCAACCCUGGAAUGCCGGUGGAUACUGUCGGGCUAGAGUGCGGAAGAGGCGAGUGGAAUUCCUGGUGUAGCGGUGAAAUGCGCAGAUAUCAGGAGGAACACCGGUGGCGAAGGCGGGUCUCUGGGCCGAUACUGACGCUGAGGAGCGAAAGCGUGGGGAGCAAACAGG
rnacentral:rRNA from 1 species